rnacentral:rRNA from 1 species
AACGAACGCUGGCGGCAUGCCUAACACAUGCAAGUCGAACGAGACCUUCGGGUCUAGUGGCGCACGGGUGCGUAACGCGUGGGAAUCUGCCCUUGGGUUCGGAAUAACAGUUAGAAAUGACUGCUAAUACCGGAUGAUGACGUAAGUCCAAAGAUUUAUCGCCCAAGGAUGAGCCCGCGUAGGAUUAGCUAGUUGGUAAGGUAAAGGCUUACCAAGGCGACAAUCCUUAGCUGAUCUGAGAGGAUGAUCAGCCACACUGGGACUGAGACACGGCCCAGACUCCUACGGGAGGCAGCAGUGGGGAAUAUUGGACAAUGGGCGAAAGCCUGAUCCAGCAAUGCCGCGUGAGUGAUGAAGGCCUUAGGGUUGUAAAGCUCUUUUACCAGGGAUGAUAAUGACAGUACCUGGAGAAUAAGCUCCGGCUAACUCCGUGCCAGCCGCCGCAGUAA